rnacentral:rRNA from 2 species
UACAGAGGGGGCAAGCGUUAUUCGGAAUUAUUGGGCGUAAAGGGCGCGUAGGCGGCCUAGCAAGUGGCGGGUGAAAUCCCUCGGCUUAACCGAGGAACUGCCUGCCAGACUGCCUGGCUCGAGACCGGGAGAGGUGAGUGGAAUUCCCAGUGUAGCGGUGAAAUGCGUAGAUAUUGGGAGGAACACCAGUGGCGAAGGCGGCUCACUGGACCGGAACUGACGCUGAGGCGCGAAAGCGUGGGGAGCAAACAGG